rnacentral:lncRNA from 10 species
CAUCCUAUGCCUUCAUCUGUCUCUGCAAAUGAAAUAAGCCUUGGUCCUUUUGGGGAUUGGGAAAAGGGACAUGACACAGAGGCACCCCUUCUUCAUGUACCUUCUUUAAAGUGAGGAAAAUGCUCAGAAGCUAGAAGCUCCUCACAUCCCGUGAGUUAGAACCACAUCCUUGGGCCCCUUCUAACUACUCCACUAAGCACAGAACUUAGCCAGGGCAAGAACAUCUGCUUGAAAGAAAGCCACACCAGGUCCCCAGGCCAGCACGAUGACCCUGAGAGCAUGCUGGGAAGGACUUGGCAUCACAUCAGUUGUCAGUCUUAGGGGUGGGAAUGUUCUAUUCCCACUCUCAAUUUUCUAAAGGACACAUUGUGACGCUGAUACCUGGACAUUUAUACAAACUCUUUAGCAAAUCCAUUUCCAUUUCCCAGACAAAUCAACUCCCCAAGUUCACUAUUUGUUCAGACUUUGCUUUCUAUGUUGAGAGGAAGCGUGGCAGCAGCUGCAUUGUUUAGGGCAGGGGUGAGACAACUCUUUUGCACGGUUUGCGCAAUAUCAGAAAAAAAUGUCUAGGCCAAUUUUUUCAAACCAACUUUUAAAAUAUCAUGAGAUGCAAUAUUUAAAACUUGUUUUAAGCAUCCUUUAAAUUUAUUUCCCCUAUUAUUGAAGGACUUUGUGAUUGUUACUGAAACAUCAGAACCUGAAGAGGCAUGGUAUGCUGCAGUCUCACUCUGCACUUUAGGCCUGCAGCACAUUUUCUGGGCAAUGACAUAGAUUGUGUGUAGCGCUGAGGGAUUUGGUGUUGGGGAAGCAAACUGGACUCUGAGCCCAGCCAGAGACCAGGGACAAAGAAAAGCCCCAUUAGGAGUUCCUGGUUCUGGUAGAGCAAGGGGUCGGGGGACUGU